rnacentral:rRNA from 1 species
UACGGAGGGGGCGAGCGUUAUUCGGAAUUAUUGGGCGUAAAGGGCGCGUAGGCGGCUUGAUGUGUCAAAGGUGAAAUCCCUCGGCUCAACUGAGGAACUGCCUUUGAAACUGUCUGGCUUGAGGCCGGGAGAGGGUAGCGGAAUUCCCAGUGUAGCGGUGAAAUGCGUAGAUACUGGGAGGAACACCGGUGGCGAAGGCGGCUACCUGGACCGGUUCUGACGCUGAUGCGCGAAAGCGUGGGUAACAAACAGG